AACAUCGCCAUCACCAACAUCUACGCUCCCUCUACACGUGCCCUCAAACAAGCUUUCUUUGCCGACCUCCUCUCCAUCGCGCAACCUGACCAUGCUCCUUGGCUUGUCCUCGGCGAUUUCAACCUCCUUCGCUUUCCCUCGGACAAAAACAACUCCUCCUUUCGACAGUUAGAAGCUAAUGCCUUUAACCACGUUAUCGACACCUUAGCCCUCAUUGAACUGCCUCUCCUCGACCGACAAUUUACGUGGACCAACAACCGCUCCUCGUCCGAACAUCAUAACUGCACCCUAUUGGAUAUGGUGCAUUCCAUGAUGUUUCUUAUCAAAUUACCACUAUCGUUUAUGGGUUAG
rnacentral:rRNA from 1 species